rnacentral:rRNA from 1 species
AUUGAACGCUGGCGGCAUGCCUUACACAUGCAAGUCGAACGGUAACGCGGGGCAACCUGGCGACGAGUGGCGAACGGGUGAGUAACGCAUCGGAACGUGCCCAGUAGUGGGGGAUAGCCCGGCGAAAGCCGGAUUAAUACCGCAUACGGCCUACGGGUGAAAGGGGGGGAUCGCAAGACCUCUCGCUAUUGGAGCGGCCGAUGUCAGAUUAGGUAGUUGGUGGGGUAAAGGCCUACCAAGCCGACGAUCUGUAGCUGGUCUGAGAGGACGACCAGCCACACUGGGACUGAGACACGGCCCAGACUCCUACGGGAGGCAGCAGUGGGGAAGUUUGGACAAUGGGCGCAAGCCUGAUCCAGCCAUGCCGCGUGCGGGAAGAAGGCCUUCGGGUUGUAAACCGCUUUUGUCAGGGAAGAAACGCGCUGGGUUAAUACCUCGGCGUAAUGACGGUACCUGAAGAAUAAGCACCGGCUAACUUCGUGCCAGCAGCCGCCGUAA